UACGGGGGGGGCAAGCGUUGUUCGGAAUUACUGGGCGUAAAGGGCUCGUAGGCGGCUCGUUAAGUCAGACGUGAAAGCCCUCGGCUUAACCUGGGAACUGCGUCUGAUACUGGAAGGCUUGAGGAUGGGAGAGGGAUGUAGAAUUCCAGGUGUAGCGGUGAAAUGCGUAGAUAUCUGGAGGAAUACCGGUGGCGAAGGCGGCAUCCUGGACCAUUACUGACGCUGAGGCGCGAAAGCUAGGGGAGCAAACGGG
rnacentral:rRNA from 1 species